rnacentral:rRNA from 1 species
GAUGAACGCUGGCGGCGUGCCUAAUACAUGCAAGUCGAGCGAACAGACGAGGAGCUUGCUCCUCUGACGUUAGCGGCGGACGGGUGAGUAACACGUGGAUAACCUACCUAUAAGACUGGGAUAACUUCGGGAAACCGGAGCUAAUACCGGAUAACAUGUUGAACCGCAUGGUUCAACAGUGAAAGACGGUCUUGCUGUCACUUAUAGAUGGAUCCGCGCCGCAUUAGCUAGUUGGUAAGGUAACGGCUUACCAAGGCAACGAUGCGUAGCCGACCUGAGAGGGUGAUCGGCCACACUGGAACUGAGACACGGUCCAGACUCCUACGGGAGGCAGCAGUAGGGAAUCUGCCGCAAUGGGCGAAAGCCUGACGGAGCAACGCCGCGUGAGUGAUGAAGGUCUUCGGAUCGUAAAACUCUGUUAUUAGGGAAGAACAAAUGUGUAAGUAACUAUGCACGUCUUGACGGUACCUAAUCAGAAAGCCACGGCUAACUACGUG